rnacentral:rRNA from 1 species
AACGAACGCUGGCGGCAUGCCUAACACAUGCAAGUCGAACGAGACCUUCGGGUCUAGUGGCGCACGGGUGCGUAACGCGUGGGAACCUGCCCUUAGGUUCGGAAUAACUCCCCGAAAGGGGUGCUAAUACCGGAUAAUGUCUUCGGACCAAAGAUUUAUCGCCUUUGGAUGGGCCCGCGUUGGAUUAGCUAGUUGGUAGGGUAAAAGCCUACCAAGGCGACGAUCCAUAGCUGGUCUGAGAGGAUAAUCAGCCACACUGGGACUGAGACACGGCCCAGACUCCUACGGAAGGCAGAAGUGGGGAAUAUGGGACAAUGGGCGAAGGCCGGAUCCACAAAUGCCGCGUGAGUGAGGAAGGCCUUAGGGUUGUAAAGCUCUUUACCCGGGAUGAUAAUGACAGUACCGGGAGAAUAAGCUCCGGCUAACUCCGUG